ensembl:lncRNA SNAP25-AS1 SNAP25 antisense RNA 1
AAAUCAAGUCCGCGGGGCAUGGAGGCUGCUGUCGCUGCAGCAGCUCAGCUUGCCCGGGGCGGGAACUCCCCCUUUCUCCUUUCGCCUCCCCAGCACCCACACCCUGUCUCCCCCUUAAUUCUUCCCUGGAUAAUAGCACCCUAACGACAACAGUCAUAAUAAUAGGGUUAGAACGACAGGGGAGGAAAACUCAACAGCCUAAAUAUCUCUGAAAACUGCAUCGCAAAAUGGAAGAAAGAGGGGGUCCCACUACUGUUUCAAAAGAGAGCCAUGGAAGUCAAAUGCUGAGGAUGGUGGCAUCAUAGGAUGAAUGGAGCUGGGUUCUUGAAACACUGCCUGGAGGAAAGACAGCAAAAAUGCCUCAUGAAUCCAACUGGACUGUUAGCUCAUCUUUACCCUUCAAAUCUCAACUCAAAUGUCCUUCCUCUGAGAGGCCUUCUCUGCCUGCCCUCCCAUGUAAAGAAACCAGCUCCAUUUCUGGGAUGCUCACCCUUGGAGACCAGCAACAAUGUGUGCAGAAACCCAGGCCAUGUGGAGAGGCCCCACAUACGUGUCCAACUGAGGUCCCAGCUGACAGCUGGCAUUGACAUGUGAGUGAGACUCUGAACGUUCCAGCUGAUGACAAGUACAGUUUGAGCGAGCUAUCCCUGUUGGGCCUGUCAAAACUGCAGAUUUCAUGAAGAAAAUAAGUGUUGUUGACUUAAGCCAAAUGUUCACUCUGGGGGAAGCCAGCUGCCACGCUGUAAGGACACUCGGGCAGUCCUAUGAAGAGGCCCGUGUGGUGAGAAAGAGAGGCCUCCAGCCAACAGCCAUAGAUGGGGUCUUGCUAUGUUUCCCAGUUGGAGUGCAGUGAUUAUUCACAGACAUGAUCCCACUACUGAUCAGCAUGGGAGUUUUCACCUGCUCCAUUUCCCACCUGGGAGGUCAUCAUAUUGAUGGCGAGCUAAGUGUGGACACCUGAUCAGCAUAGCACAGUACAGCCCAGAACCCCUGGGCUCCAGUGAUCCUCUUACUUCAGCCUCUUGAGUAGCUGGAACUACAGGCCUGCACCACUGCACCCGGCUAGUUUGUUUUUGUUAGAGUUUUGUCUCUAGGAUUUUCCUCAGCUGAGUAUGUGAAGGCUAACUUCUCCUUGUGAAUCUGCAAAUAUCCUUAUUUUACCCUUUAUUUUACCAUGUAUCAUUUACAGGUAAAUGAUAUCUUAGCUGUGUAUUGAAUUUCUGUUUUUUGUUUUUUCUUCAGUACUCUAUAAAUAUUACUCCAGUAUCUUCUAGCUUCUCCCAUUUUCUCCUAGUGAAUGGUUAUUCUGCUCUUAUCUAGCAGGUGAUAAAUCUGUCAACAGAUAGUUUUUCCUUUUUGUUUUAUGUGUAAGUUGUUAUUUCUUCCUUAAAGUUCAUAAUCUUUUCCCAUUUAUUCUCUAAAUUUUAGACUAUAACCAGGAUGUGUUUAGGUUGAUAUCUUUGCUUAUCUAUUCUGCCUGGAAAUCAGGAACCUCUUCCAAUAUUCAGACUUGUGUUUUCAGCUCAGAAUAAUUAUUUUAUCAUUUGUUUGAUUAUUCCUUUAGUUGCACUGGAUCUUAGUUAAAAUGCCCAUUCUGAUUCAAAGUAUCUGGAAGGCAAGUAUUUGUCAACUAAGGGAAAGGUGACCAUGCAUCAUUGGUUUUGCUGAGACUACCUGGUUUACACCUUCAGGCUUUAUACUUAGAAAAUAUUGCGAUCAUCUUCUGGUCAUGAAGUUACAAACUUCAGGACAAAGGCUAACCAGCUAAGACUAGCAGAGCAAAUUCCAAGAACUUGGGGCUUUAAUUAACUUGAAUUGAUUUGGACUUGCCCUACCUUUAACUUCACACUGAGAUAAAAAUUCCCCACAUUUUCAAGCCAUUUUUGAGAUGAGUCUCUUAUGGUUGAAAGCAUCCUAAUUUAUACAACAUCCUUUUGGUACCUAACUAAAUAUUCACCAAUAUUUGGCACAUUUGUUAAAUCUUUUGGUGUGUGCCUCUUCUAUGUAAUGUAAAUAUGGUCUGAAUAUCCAUUCAGAAAUUAUAGUUGAUUUGCAAAAAUAACUACUAUAUCACCUAUAUUAAUUGAUAGUUAUUCCUUCCCAACCUUCUUUCACUCUUCCAUAUAUAUACAGAGUAAAUCUACAUCAUUAUGUUGAUUAAACAAAAUAGCAGUGAAAUCAGGAUGUUACUGCUCAUUGUGCAUUUAUUUCAAUUAUGGAAAAAGCCAACACUUUACUCCCUUAUUUAACACUUCUGUAGAAAAGCAGUUGAAAUAACCUAGUGUCAUUCUAAAAUGAUUUG